UACGUAGGGGGCAAGCGUUGUUCGGAAUUACUGGGCGUAAAGGGCUCGUAGGCGGCCAACUAAGUCAGACGUGAAAUCCCUCGGCUUAACCGGGGAACUGCGUCUGAUACUGGAUGGCUUGAGAUUGGGAGAGGGAUGCGGAAUUCCAGGUGUAGCGGUGAAAUGCGCAGAUAUCGGGAGGAACACCUAUGGCGAAGGCAGCUCGCUGGGACGUUACUGACGCUGAGGCGCGAAAGCUAGGGGAGCAAACGGG
rnacentral:rRNA from 1 species